rnacentral:rRNA from 1 species
AUUGAACGCUGGCGGCAGGCCUAAUACAUGCAAGUCGAACGGUAACAUAAGAAAAGCUUGCUUUUCUUGAUGACGAGUGGCGGACGGGUGAGUAAUAUUUGGGAAACUACCUGAUAGAGGGGGACAACAGUUGGAAACGACUGCUAAUACCGCAUACAGCCUCAGGGUGAAAGAAGCGAUUCGCUAUCAGAUGUGCCCAAACGGGAUUAGCUAGUAGGUGAGGUAAAGGCUCACCUAGGCGACGAUCUUUAGCUGGUCUGAGAGGAUGAUCAGCCACAUUGGGACUGAGACACGGCCCAGACUCCUACGGGAGGCAGCAGUAGGGAAUAUUGCACAAUGGAGGAAACUCUGAUGCAGCCAUGCCGCGUGUGCGAAGAAGGCCUUCGGGUUGUAAAGCACUUUCGGAGGGGAGGAAGAAAAUGACGUUACCCUCAGAAGAAGCACCGGCUAACUCCGUGCCAGCCGCCGCCGUAA